rnacentral:misc_RNA from 1 species
GAUGAAGAACGUAGCGAAAUGCGAUAAGUAGUGUGAAUUGCAGAAUUCAGUGAAUCAUCGAAUCUUUGAACGCACAUUGCGCCCCUUGGUAUCCCGAGGGGCAUGCCUGUUCGAGCGUCAUUUCACCACUCAAGCCUGCCUUGGUGUUGGGCGACGUCCUCUUUGGGGACGCGCCUCGAAACGCUCGGCGGCGUGGCACCGGCUUUAAGCGUAGCAGAAUCUUUCGCUUUGGAAGUCGGGGCCCCGUCUGCCGGAAGACCUGCUCGCAAGGUUGACCUCGGAUCAGGCAGGGAUACCCGCUGAACUUAAGCAUAUCAAUAAGCGGAGGA